rnacentral:siRNA from 1 species
ACUCAUUAAGGUUCAUGGGUU